rnacentral:lncRNA from 1 species
AUAUGAUCAGAAAACUUCAAGCAUUUAAACUAAGCAAAUGAAAGGAACGUUUAUACAACACCAUAACAAAAUCUGAAAAUACAAUGAACACAGGACUAAAUAGAUUAUGAGCAUAGGUAGAGUGCUUUUCAAAGACAAACAAGCUCAAAUUCAUUUUCCAACAAGCUCAAUGUUUUCCAUACACAUAACCACAUUUAGAGCUUCACUUUCCGGUCAAUGGUUCAAAGAAAUACCUGGAAUUCAAAACAAAACAGAAAAUGGUGGUUCAACUGUAGAAACCACAGCAGCAGUAUAGCAGGAUUCAAUACCAACAUCCCAUUUCAACCCAAAAAGAUGUGAAGUUGUUCAAACAAACUCCUAAUCGAACAAUAACCCAAUAAUAACUUCAUAACCAAGCUUUUAAAACCAUACUCAUCCAUUUUUGACCCUAGAUGAAUCAAAAAGUGUUUCAGAAUUAGAAAAAAACCUCAGGAAAUCACCAGAGAGGAUUCAAUGAAACAAUAUCCUUGUAAAAAUUUUAGUUGUUUAGAUUUUUUCUGAAUUUUUAUCUCUUUUUAGUCUCUAAAAUCUCUAAUAUCUGAAUUGAGCUUCCCUUAACAAUGCCUUUAUAGGCAAGCUAUUAGGGAAGCACAAAUAGUUCAGUUUUUACCCUUUAGACCUUUCACGAUUUUUAUUUUAAAUGUUUGGUCCUUAAAUUACUUACUUGUUGGCCAAGUAAGCCUAUGUUGAGCUUCUAAGAAGCUUCCUAAGUCAGUUAUUGAAACAUUCCCUAAGUAAAUUACCCAACUUACCCUUCCAUGACCUUGUUUUUUACUACUGAAUCUCAAAUGGGUUAUGGGUCAAUGACCUAAAGGUUCAUGUCCAAGUGAACGGAUCAGAUGGACCUAGAGCCCAGACCAAAAGGGGUUCGAAACCCAAACCACUUAAUGAAAAGCAGAAAAAAGAUAUUUGGGUGAUUUCAGAAUUUGGAAUUUAUGCUACAAAUAAUGACUUUCUCCUCUAAAGUACUAAAUUAAGCACUAAGUUAAUAAUUUAUCAACAAACUACUCAGAAAAUUUCAAGGCCUUAAAAAAAACCGGAGAAUAUGAUUAAUGCUUUACAAAGAAAAUUGAAGAGAUGAAGCAGAAAUAACAAACAUUACAAAACGAACUAUCCUAAACAGAGGGAGCUAUAUUCAAUAUGGGCUUUAGUCUGAACAUGCUUGAAUAUAUGGAGGCGGAAGAAAAUUAACAAAAGAAGAGACGAAACAGAAAAAAACGAAAAAAAAGGCGAAGAAAGAAAAAAAACUCACCAAUAUAGACUGAGUCUAAUGGAGACUAAGGACUUGACCAAACUAACAUCAAUCCCUCGUUCUUUGUCAAGAAUAAACUGAACGAUAUUAGUUUCGGUAAGUCCAACCUUCAAAACUCGAAAAGAUAUAAACCCAAAGGUCGUGCAUGUUACCAGAAUUAACGAAAAAUGAUUUCGAACUUUGGAGGUCAAACUCGGAUUUAAUAAUUCGAUGAAUUUGAAGCUGAUUCGAGGGUAACUGGCCAUAGAUUAGAAAAGAGGGGUUUGUGCUGACUAUGUGGUGUUAGUUUGGGAGGGGUUGGUGGUGGUGCCACCACAGGAGAAAACAAGGGCAACGCUAGGAUUUGGACCUUUGAUCAGAUAUUUGAAGAGUUCCGGGUGUAUUUAAGGGAAGAUGACCGGAGAUUUGAGACGAGAGGGACAAGGGGAUAACUUGGUGUUAAUUUGGUGGUGAUUGGCCGCCGGCCACCGCCGUGGGCAGUUUCUGAAGGGCGGAAGACGGUGGCCCAAGAUUGGCGUUAUGUUAGGGCUUCUGAGGGUGUGUAAGAGACGGUGUAGGGAUAGGGGGAUAUUUCGACAUAUUUAUAUUAAAGGUAACCCUAAUUUCGGACCGUUAGAUUAGAGAGAUCCAACGGUCGCGGUUAGAGGAGGGAGAAACGGGGCCAUUUAGUUUUUAGAUGGGGUGGACCGGGUCUGGAGAUGGGCUAUAGACAAAACAUUUGGGCUUGGGAGUUUUAAUUAAAAUGGACCAAUCAGAUUUCUCCUUUCCUUCUUCUUUUCAAUUUCUUCCCUUUUUUCUAAAUUUUUUUCUUAAUGUAAAACAAAAAAUAAACCUAAAUUUAUACCUACUCCAAGUUAUCUAAUUAAAUUAAAUUAACCAACUUUAAAUAACAAAUACUAAAAAUGUUUUAAAAAACCACCUUAAAGGGAAUGACUACUUAAAAUGCAAAAAAAUUAAUUAAAAUUAAAAAAUGCAAAAUAAACUAUUUUUUGCUAUUUUUCCCAUUUUUACAAAACAACUAACUGGUUAAUUAAUCCUAAAACACAUACUUAAAUCCCAAAAUACAAACAAACAAGAAAAUUAUGCAGUAAUUCCUAAAACCCAAAUAAUUUAAAGAAAAAUCCUAAUUUUUGGAAUUCUGUAGGAGCAAUUCAUGUUAGGCAAAAAUCACGUGCUCACAGCUGCCCCUUUUUGCUCAUAGACACGAAGGAUUUUCGGGCAAAGAUAAAAUGAGCAACAAGGGAUUUCUGCCUGCUUGACACUCCAUGAGAAGCAUUUUUUUAAAAAGCCUGACUGAACCUUGCUUCAGAGAUUGCCUACAUAUCCUUGGCUAUAAAGGAUUCAGGUCAGUGUAUAUCUGGAAGUUUUGGUAGCUGGGACUACCGGGAAGCUAUGACUUCACUAUUGUUGCUGCUGCUACUACUUGCUGACCUCCUUAUUACACUAAAAGGAAAAUCAAAAGCUACGCUAGUUAGGCCUAUCAGCUACGAGUUACAUGAUUCCAAUCAAUAAAUCUCUUGAAGCUUGAUCUCGAGUCUUAGCUGGUUCUUAUUUUGGACUCUGGUCUUAAUCUUGAUGCUCAUCAGCUGCAUGUGUUGGUUCUUUCUUCGGCUUUUGGAUCAAAUCGGAACAUGCGAAACUUGUGACUUUAAUCGCAUUCAUGCGCAGUCUGCAUCUUUGUCUGCUUCAGCAUUUUUAAUUCACUUCUUUUUUGUCCUUUUUCAUUUUUUCUUUAUUCUAGACCGAGGCUCAUUUUGUCGGCCACCUCGAAUCCUGUGCUUUGAUUGCAAACUUUCUCAGAUGCAAAAACAAACAAACGAACAAAAUUUUUCUGCACUAUUUUUCACUAGGAAAAUUUUGUGAAUUAUUUCUGACAAAGUAUGAACUUAUUCUCUUUUCUUUUUUUUUCUUUUUUUCCAAAUAAAAUAAGAAUUGUAUCUAUAUAGAAGGGAAAAGAUCAGGGAAUGGAGCCCUAUAUCUAAAAUGUCAACUUAGGGAUUGGAGCCCUAAUGUUGGCGAAAAGGCGACUAGGGAAUGGAGUCCUAUGUCUGAAAACUCAACUUAGGGAUUGGAGUCCUAAUGUUGGUAAAAAGGCGACUGGGGGUUGGAGGCCCUAUGUCUAAAAAAUAAACUCAAGGAUUGGAUCCCUAAAAAAGUGACUAGGGAAUGGAGGCCUUAUGUCUAAAAACUCAACUCAGAGAUUGGAGCCUUAAUGUUAGUGAAAGGCGACUAGGGAAUGGAGGCCUUAUGUCUAAAAACUCAACUCAGGGAUUGGAACCCUAAUAUUGGUGAAAAGGUGACUAGGAAAUGAAGGCCCUAUGUCUAAAAAUCUCAACUUAGGGAUUGGAGCCCUAAUGUUGGUAAAAAGGCGACUAGGGAAUGGAGGCCCUAUGUCUAAAAACUCAACCCAGUGAUUGGAGCCAUGAUGUUGGUAAAAAGGCGACUAGGAAAUGGACGGCCUAUGUAUAAUAACUCAACUUAGGGAUUUGAGCCCUAAUGCUGGUAAAAAAGUGACUAGGGAAUGGAGGGCCCUAUGUCUAAAAAUUGAACUCAGGGAUUGGAUCCCUAAUAUUGGUAAAAAGGUAACUAGGGAAUGAAGGCCCUAUGUCGAAAAAUUCAACGCAGGGAUUGGAGCCCUAAUGUUGGUAAAAAUUUAAAAGAUUGAGGCUUGGAAUCCUAAGCUAUCAUUUCUUUUUUGUGUUUUGGAUUUUCUUUUCCUUUCUCUCUUCUUUUUUUCAUUUUCCCUUUUCAUUUCAUUUUAUUUCAAUAAAAUGCAGGAAAGAAUUUUAGAGGAAAACUUCUCUUUUGGGUUGAUUAUUGCUGCGAAGCUAUUUCUAGCUUUUGUGCACCUUUUCCUUUGGUUGCACUUGCUUUUGCACGAUUUCUUUGGGCUGCACCUGUUUCAAUUUCAAACAAGAACAAUUGUUAGUCAGAAAUGGUGGUUGGUUUUGUGGCCUUGAUUAUCUUGAUCACUUGAUCUCGGCCCAACAAUUUAGUGAGAACCUCUGGUGCUUGUUGGUUUUUCUGAAGAUCUCUCUCUCUCUCUCAAACAUAAGGACUCAACUUUCCAAAAUUUCAUGACGGCUCUCCCGCGUACGGUUUUGGUCCUUUCACUUUAUUCCGCCUUUAGGGCUUUUGCCUUUGGCUCUCUUUUCCUUUCAAAAUCUUUGAUUUCAAAGCAUCAGCCAACACAACCAGUCUGGUUUGACUCGAUGCACCCGCUGAGGCUAUGUAUUUUCUUUGGCUUGGCUUUUGUUGAACAGAACCUUGUAAAACUAAUCUUGCCACCUUUUCUUUGUACUAGUUUUGGCAAUGGAGUUAGACCAAAAGGGAUUCAAGAAAAAGUAAACAAGAGGUAAGAAAUUGAAUUAAAAGAGAAGUGUCCCUUUUGGGAAGGAAGGAAGGACUUAUCUGGGGUACAUGCAGACAUCAAUAGACAUGACAAUCUUCUUGGACUGGAUGCUCAACAUGCACAACUUUUCCAGCUUCUCAUAAACUCAUUGUGAGCCAUACAUACAAAUUGAGAAAUCUUGCCAAGACUCCAAUAGUGGUGAGGGGUUUCUUCUUUUCGAUCGACAACGCUCUUUACGGGUUUUUGCCAAUCCACCUCUCUCAUUUCUCUUCUCACCAUCGCCUGAUAGUGCUCUUUACGAGUUUUCACUAGCCAGGCUCUCUCAUUUUCAAUUUCUUUGCUCACUAUCCCUUAUGGUGCCCGUAGGUUUUCACCGAUAAGGCUCUCUCAUUUUAUUUCUCUCAUUUUGGUUGUAUCAGAUCCAGGAACCUGCAUUCUCUAAUUCCGACGCCUUUUGUUGAUUGAUCAGAAGGACCUAGACAAGGUUUGGCAUAUAAAGAGAAUUGGAUCCAAUUAAAACUUUGGAACCUUUCCGACGAUAUCAUCGCCGAACCAUUAUAUCAUCUGCUCCAGUUUUACUUUUUGGGGAAAAUUGGAUUUUUAUUUUGUUGUGACUGAACCCCAGAAAGAGGCUGCCUACGUAUCCUUUCGGAAUCAAGUCAAACGUACUUCAGGAAAACAUUUUGUUUUUGUUUUUUCUUUUGUUUUUCAGUUUUGCUUUGUUUUCUUUUCUUCUUUCUUUCUUCUUUUUCCAGUUUUCUUCUUUUUCAUUUUUCUUUUCUUUUCUUCUCUUUUUUUAAUAACACUUUCAGGUUCCAAAUAGGGUAACCAAAGAACAGUAACCUGCUGAAAAGGUUGAUAGUGUUUGGGUAGCGAGAAUAAAAGCCUUCAUCAUCCCAAUCAGAUAAUGUUGUUGCUGCAGAAAGCCUAAACAUAGUAGUUUUUCAUUGCAUCUGCAUUCACAGCUGCUUCGGGGUCAUUUCCUUCGACAUCUCCCAAGUAUAAUGCCCAUCUUGGCAAUAUCUUUCUGAUGAUAUAUAUGACUUUCCAAUUAGGAGCGAAUUUUCCUUUCGCUUCCUGAUAAUGGGAAAGAAUGCGCCUUAACACGAGUUUUCCCACUUCGAAACUCCUGGGCCUUACUUUCUUUUUAUAAGCAUGGGCCAUUCUUUGUUGGUACAACUACCUGUGGCAGACCGCAACCAUUCGAUUUUCAUCAAUUAGGUUCAACUAUUCUAGACGGAUCUUGACCCACUCACUAUCUUCAAUUUCAGCUUCAACAAUGAUCUGGAGAGAGGGAACUUCAACUUCUGCGGGUAUUACGACAUCAGCGCCAUAGACCAAGAGGUAUGGGGUUUCUCCAACCGAUGUGUGCAUGUAGUGCGAUAUCCCAAUAAUGCAAAAGGCAACUUUUCAUGCCACUGCCUGGAGCUCUGAAUCAUCUUUCUCAAAAUCUUCUUUAUGUUAUUGUAUGCUGCUUCGACGGCCUCAUUGGCUUUAGGUUAAUAAGGAGUAGAGUUCCUAUGCAUUAUUUUGAAUUGUUCUCAUAUCUCCGCCAUCAAACAAUUAUUCAAAUUUACAGCAUUAUUUGUGAUGAUAGUUGCAGGAAUACCAAAUUGGCAGAUAAGAUUAGAGUGCACGAAAUCUACCACAGCUUUCUUGGUGACGGAUUUGAGAGUGAUGGCUUCGACCCAUUUUGUGAAAUAGUCAAUGGCAACCAGUAUGAAUUUGUGCCCAUUUGAGGCUUUCUGCUCGAUUGAACCAAUGACAUCCAUGCCCCAAGAAAUAUAUGUCCAAGGUGCUGACAUGGGAUGCAGUUCUGUGGGCGGUGCAUGAAUUAAAUCACCGUGUACCUUACACUAAUGACACUUCCGGAAAAUGCUGAAAUAGUCAUUUUCUAUGGUUAUCCAGUAAUAGCCCACUCGAAGGAUUUUCUUUACUAAAACAUUCCAUUCAUGUGGAGUCUGCAUACUUCCGUGUGCACUUCAUGCAUGAUUCUUCCAGCCUCUUCUACGUCAACACAUCUUAAAAAGUUGAGGUCCGGAGUUCUUUUGUACAGGACAUAGCCACUCGCGUGCCGUCUAAUGGUUCUCUUUUGGUCCCCACUGGCUUGCUCGGGAUAUUCUUGUAUUUUUAGAAAUCUUUUGAUGUCACGGUACCAUGGCUAGGUAUUUGGUUCUGCUUCAACAGUAUUGCAAUAACCAUGCCUUCCCCGGAUUUGGAUUUCCAAGGGAUCUACAUGAGCAUUGCCUAGAUACGACAACAUUAAAGCCAAAGUAGCAAGUGAUCAGACAAUUUGUUGUGACAACGAGGGAUGUACCUGAACUCUAUUGACUUGAAUCACCUGCUAAGAUCUUCCACAUGCUGCCAAUAAGGGAUAAUCUUGACAUCUCGAGUUUCCCAUUCUCAUUGAGCUUGCUGGAUAAUCAGAUUUGAGUCUCCCAUGAUCAAUAACUCUUCGACGUACUGGUCGAUCACCAUAUUUAUACCCAUAAUGCAGAAUUCAUACUCGGCAGUGUUGUUUGUGCAGAAAAACCAAAGCCGGGCUGUGGCUGGGUAAUUCUGACCAAUGGGUGAGAUCAAAACUACCCCAAUUCCCACACCUUUUGAAUUUACCGCUCCAUCAAAAAACAUUUUCCAAGCAGUAAUAUCCUCGGAUAUUGCCUCGACUGAGUUUACCUCUUCAUCCGGGAAGUAAGUGUUCAAAGGUUGGUAUCCAUCAUGAAUCGAGUUUUCAGCCAAAUGAUCCGCCAACGCCUGGGCUUUCAUUGCCAUGCUGACUAUGUCAAAUCAGUGAGCAAGAUUUGCCAUUUUGCUAAUCUUUCCGUGGGCAUCGGUUUCUGGAAAAUGUAUUUCAACGGAUCCAACAUGGUUAUAAGGUAAGUGGUGUAGGCUUGCAGAUAAUGUCUCAACUUCUGAGCGACCUAAGUUAAAGCACAACAAGUUCUUUCCAACAAAGUAUACUUAGCUUCAUAGCUGGUAAACUUCUUACUCAAGUAGUAUAUUGCAUGCUCUUUCUCUCUGGUAACAUCAUGUUGCCCGAGGACAGAACCAAAAGAGUUUUCCAAGACUGUCAGGUACAAGAAUAGAGGCCUCAUCAUCAACUGAAUUUUCAGCCAGAUGAUAUGCCAAUGCCUGGUCUUUCAUUGCCAUGCGAGUGACAUAGACUAUGUCAAAUUCGGUGAACAAGAUCUGCCAUUUUGCUAAUCUUACCGUAGGCAUUGGUUUCUAGAAUAUGUAUUUAAAAGGAUCCAACCUGGUUAUGAGGUAAGUGGUGUAGGCUUGCAGAUAAUGUCUCAACUUCUGAGUGACCCAGGUUAAAGCACAACAGGUUCUUUCCAACAAAGUAUACUUAGCUUCAUAGCGGGUAAACUUCUUGCUCAAAUGGUAGAUUGCCUACUCUUUCUUUCCGGUCACAUCAUGUUGCCUGAGGACACAGCCAAAACAAUUCUCUAAGACCAUCAGAUACAAAAACAUAGGCCUCUCUAGUUCAAGUGGGACCAAGAUGGUGGGUUAGACAGAUACUCCUUGAUUUUAUCAAAAGCUUCUUGACAUUCAUCCGUCCAUUUGGUUGUUGCAUCUUUCUUCAGCAAUUUGAAUAUGGUUUACACGUGGAUGUCAACUGAACAAUGGACUGGCUGAUAUAGUUCAAUCUGCCCAACUAGCUCAUCUCAUCUUUCUUGGUUCUCGGAAUAGGCAAAUCCUGAAUAGAUUUUACCUUAAUCAGAUCUAACUCAAUACCUCUCCAGCUGGCUAUAAAGCCCAAACGUUUGCCCGACGGGACCCCAAAUACGCAUUUGGCUGGGUUCAACUUCAAGUCAUACUUGUGAAACCGCUCAAAGAAUUUCUUUAGAUCUUGAACAUGGUCAUAUUAGGUUUUGGACGUGAUGAUUACAUCGUCCAUAUACACCUCUAUCUCUUGGUGCAUCAUAUCAUGGAAAAUGGCAGUCAUGGCCCUCAUGUAGGUUUCCCCAGCAUUCUUCAAACAAAAUAGCAUGACCCUGUAAUAGUAUGUACCCCCAAGGUGUGGUAAAAGCUGUCUUUGUACAUCUUUUUCAUCCAUCAACACCUAGUGAUAUCCUGCGUAACAAUCCACGAAGGACUAUAUCUCAUGUUUGGCGCAGUUAUCAACAAGGAUGUGGAUGUUUGGCAAAGGAAAGUUAUCUUUAGGACUUGCCUUGUUUAGAUCUCUGUAAUCCACAUACACUCGGGUCUUUCCGUCGUUUUUCAACACUAGAACUACAUUGGCUAGCCAUCUUGUGUAUCGGACCACUCGGAUCACUCCUACUUUCAACUGUUCUGUGACUUCUUCCUUAAUCUUGUCACUAAUAUUAGUUUUCAGUUUUCUUUGCUUUUGCUGGAUACGGGGCAAUCGGGGUAAGUUGGCAACUUAUAAACCACCAAAUUGACACUCAGUCCUGGCCUGUCAUCCUAUGACCAAGCAAACACAUAUUUGAACUCAAACAGAAGUUAGAUUAAUGCAUCUUGGGUUUUUCAUCUGUGUGAAUGCUUAUCUUGGUCUCUCUGAUUUCUUCAGAACUACCAAAUUAACUGGAUCAAUGUUAUCAAAUUUUGGCUUAGGUUUAUUCUGGAAUUGUUCUAGUUCUCAAUUUAUUUCCCUAAAAGCCUCUUCGUCAUCAUAUUCUUGCUCUUGGUUCAUUGUUUCACAGUUAGAAAGCGUGUUUGGAUCUGGGCAUGAAGUCUGCAAGCAUGUCAUGUUAUAUAAAGCCACAUUAUUAGAACUGAAAGAAGAAAUAAAAAGAAAAUAACAAAAAUUAGAAGGAAUAAAGAAAGAUGGACGAUGAAAUAUUGAUUUCAUUUCAUUGAGUUUGGAAGAUAACAUGGUUUACAUUGGAAACUAAAAGACAUAAAACUAAAGAAAAACAUCCGCGUUACACCCUAGAAUAACUCGUGAUAUAGAAAAGGUGGUAGGACAGGUCCACGGAGGCUCUCGCCUAAUUGGGAAUGGUGUAGCCUUCCAAUUUUGCAAUUUGACCUCAGGUCCCAUGUACAACACCUCGGCCGUGCUUGAGCCUUCCCCUGGCUGGACUAUGUGGGUUUCAUAUAGUAUCUUCCUCAUUUCCCUAUAGAUCUCUUCAAUCUCUUCGGGCGUAAAUGCCUCAUCCUCUUCUUUUUCAUUGUAUUUGGGCUUGACGAAUUUUUUGUACAGAUGCGGCACUGGCUGCGGUAAGACCCAUCCAUUAUUUUUUCUACCAUCUGCCCAUUUUAUGUCUGCUAGUGUGGGUCUAAAGCCAACCCCAAAGAACUUUUCACUGGCAAGUAGGGUGAUAGUUUCAGCUAUUCAUUGCAAUAGUUUCCCAAGCCCCUUCCAGGUUUAAAGCCACGCUUCAUCAUUUCCUUGGCUACCAUGAUUUAUGCAUUUGAAAGGAAGGGUUGGGGGCAAGGUUUUCCUUCUUCGCACUGAUUUGCGACCACAAUUUCAAAGGCCUGAUAGACUAUGUGCUCACUCCCCUCUCUUGCUUCAAGACAUAGGACUGAUGGGUCCCGAUAGAUUGAUUUCUCAUCUUCCCCGUGGACCACAAUCUCUUGAUCCUUAUGCUCAAAUUUCACCAUCUGGUGAAGAGUAGAAUGUACGGCCCCCACUGCAUGAAUCCACGGUCUCCCCAGAAGAAAGUUGUAAGAGGUGUCCAUGUCCAAAACAUGGAAGGUUACUUCGAAGUCUACGAGGUGGAUGGUUAGGAUCAGAUCAAUCUCUCCAAUUGUGUCCCUUUUUAUACCGUCAAAAGCACGUAAGCAGACAUUGUUCGGUCGGAUUCUCUCGAUACCGAUUUCCAUACGCUGCAGUGUCAAGAGUGGGCAAAUAUCUACUCCAAAACCCCAUCCAAUAUAACCCCUUUUAUGCAGUACCCUUAGCAUUUGACUGUCAGGUGCAGGGCUUUGUUGUGUGCGGCCCCUUCUAGGGGCAAAUCAUUUUUACUGAAGGAGAACUUGUUGACUGUGAUAAAUCUUUCUACCAUUCUCUCCAACUGUUCUACAAAGGUCUUAACAGGCAGAUAUGCUUCGUUAAGGGUCUUGAUUAAUACCUUUUGAUGUUCGGUGGAGUUUAUCAAACAGAGAUAACAGAGAGUUUUGCGGCAGACUUUUGAAGCUGGUUGAUCACCUCAUAAUCCGCCAUUUUCAUCUUUUGAAAUAAAGCCUCUACUUCUUCGGCACUCACCGACUUCUUAUAUGGGAAGUGCUUUCUACUGGUGUUAUUCACCUCUUCCAAAUUGAAAUAUUUUCAGCCGGGUUAUUUUCUUGAAUCUCUCCUGAGAUUUCUUUGCCUUUGUAAGUCACUACUGAUUUGCUAUAAUUCUAAGGCAUAACAGGAGGAUCCAUCAUUGGCUUUUGUGCAGCACGACCAAUAACCACGGGCUCACUCAGCCUUGGUGGAUUAAUUGGCCCCUGCAUAACAUCAACUCCCUUGGCACAUAUAUUUGGGUUUUCUUGCUCUCAAAUAUCAUGGGAGGAUUCAAUGUCAUCUGCUUUUCUUUGCGGCCUCGAGGGACAUAUAUAACAUCAUCUUUGGGGGGCAUUUCCCUAGUUUCGACUUCCAUUUUCUUCUCUGACUUCGGAGGGGUGGUUUUGUUAUUUUUCUUUCCAUUGUCUUGCUUCGGGGCAGCUUUUGGUUUCUUUUCUAUGUCAGUGAUGGCAAUGAUGACCUUCAAUGCUGGGUCAAAUUCCUUAUCCUCAUAAAUCAUUCCGAUUAACGGCCCGUUGUUGUGGGCAGGCAAUAAGUUGUUGGUCACAUGGGGAAUAUCUUCAUCCCUUAACAUAUCUUUCUUUUUUCUAUCAAGCUCUUCAUGACUCUCUUAGAGUCCAGCAAUCAUCCGUGUCACCCUUCUUCCCCUGAGUGAUAGCCUCAUCGGGCACCAGCUUAAUAAGCGGGUGAUAUCGAGUUUUGUCGAGUUUGGGGAACAUGAUAUAGUAGGCCCAUUUGAACAAGUUUUGGUAACAGGCUGGAGUAUGAUUCACCAAUUGGUGUGAAAUUUGGCCUCUUGGGUGGUUCACGGCGUGGAAAUUGUUUUGUGGAGGCCGAGGGUUGUAGUGAGUUUUGUAAGGAGGCUGGUUUCUAGAAACUGGAGCUUGGUUUUGAUUGGCUUAUUAUGGUGGCCGGACAUAAGGUUGAGCAUUCAUUACUGUGUAUGGCUGAGAAUCAUUAGUCAUAUCUUGAUGAGAGUAUAGUGUUGCGGGGUUCUUUUUGAGAAAAAGGAUCUGGGAGUAUGGUGUUUUCUUGCACGUGACGCUCCCAUUGAUGUUUCUUCCUUUUUAUUGCCCUUUAAUACUAAUCCAAACCCACCAUAGAUGGCUUGGGAGGUAGCUCUUAUAGUGGGUUGGCUAAAAAUUAGACAUGUCUUGAUCCCAUUUUCAACCAUUUUGCCAAUCUUGAUUUCAGCAAACAGUUUACCCAUUGCGGACAUCAUAUUCUGGAAGUAGUCAGCCUCUUGGGCUUGGAGGAAAAUCAUGACCAUUUUAAUCUCAUCCAUCAGAGUCUUUACCCAGGAGGCCUACUCAUGCCAUUUAACUGCGUACUCUCAGAAGCUUUUCGAGGAUUUCUUCUUCAAGUUUGUCAAUGAGUUCCUAUUUGGAGCAAUAUCAAUGUUGUACUGGAAUUGCCUGACAAAAUCUCAAGCAAGAUCAUCCUAGAUGUGCUACUGGGAUAUAUAUUGGUCCAUGUACCAUUCAUAUGCAAUGCCAACCACAACUUAUUUGAAGUAGGCCAUGAGGAGUUUUUCCUUUCCACCGGCUCCUCGCAGCUAGUUGCAAUAUCUCUUGAGGUGAGCAAUAGGAUCACCGUGUCCACCGAACUUAUCAAAUUUUGGGGUUUUGAAUCCCUAUGGUAUAUGCACAUUCGGGAACAUACACAAGUCGGCAUAGGAUAAACUUUUCUUUCCACUCAAGCCUUGUAUGUUUUAAGGCUAUGUUCCACACUCCUCAUCUUUCUCGCAAUCUCUUCUUGCUCGAGAGUUUUAGUGGUCUUUUCUUUCCCCGCAGUGAACUCAUAUCGGGGUGGUUGAGAGUAAGUAUAAGUGGGAAAUUACAGAGGUUCCAUUGGGAAGGAGGGUGUUUGGAAGGUGAAAGCUAGGGGGUCAAAACUAGGCCUGGGCAGUGUAGGUUGUGCCGUGGCCGAGAAAGGGGGAGCGGUAAAGAUUUUUGAGGCUGCACUGGACAUUAACACCUGGGGGCGAACCUCAGAGGAUGUUCCGAUAAAAUGAGCUAAGAUAAUUGGGUGUCCUAGUGGUGUAUUUGGAUGACUAAUCGGGAUGGUAGAGGUACCGCUUGCUCUAGGAAAGAGUUCAGGAAAUCCCAAAUUGCGCUUGGUGGAUCUCUUCUAUUUGACCAAGCAUUCCAAAUCUCCAUAACCCGAAGACGCAUGAUUCUAUUUUCUUCAUAAGCUGCAGAUUCUGAGGUCGUGAUGCCUGAGAUUGGACUAUCAUCCAUGAUGGGAAUUAUUGGCAGAUUCACUUCUAAAGAUAUUUCGAUACUCCCUUUCGAUCUCGCAAAGUAUGGGCGCGAAGCCAGAUUACCACAAAACUAACCACCAUUAUAUAAAAACCUGGACUGAUGUAAUAGCAACAAACGGUCAGUUUUAAACAAAAAACGAAUAGGUAAUCGCACGUUAGGGGUGUGAUGCACCUAUACAGUUAAAUGUGUUUCUACAUGUUUUGCAACGGUUGCACGCUUCAUCCCAGCUUACUUAUUCUUUCCUUUUCAUUUCUCUUUUUUUUCUUUUCUUUUCUUCUCUUGCUUUUUUUCUCUUUUUUUUUAUUUUUAUUCUCUCAUUUUCUUUUCCUUAUUGAAAUUAUUCAAUGACCAGAUCUGAUGAGGAUUGCCUACAUGUCAUGAUGCCACAUGAAUCAGAUCAUUACAUAGUUCAAGAAAAAAUUAAUGCAAAAAGUAAAGAAAUAAUUUUUUGGGGAAUUUUUUAUUUUCAUUAAUAAAAACUCCAAAGCUUCUGCUACAAAAGAUUUCAAACUACUUCAUUUUCUUGGAAUGAAAAACUACAAACACACUCAAAAUAAACCAAAAUACAGACUCGAUAAAUGAAAAAUGAGGAAUACAUUAAAGCAUCAACUCUUGGGGCCCGCGGGGCAUCAUUCAGCCUCACCACGUGCCUAUGUGCGAAAUCCCCUUGUAAACGCUCCAAAUCACUCAUUAUCUGGUGGAUGAAUGUCAUUACUGCAGCGAAGAAGGUGGUUUUGGUCAUAUCCUCACAUGCCUGGCAUUUUGCGACGAUAUAGUCGCCAAUACCUCUAAUCCUUUCUCGAAUCCUACCAUUUUCUUGAAGUAGACACCCGAUUUGCUGCUUUAUGGCUUCUAACACCUGAAUGUCGUUAUGGUUUUGGUUUGCAGCUAUUGCAGUUCCUCCUCCAUCGGAGCUAUUAGAGCAUAACAAUGUUCCCUAUUAGCUUUAAAGUCCUUGGCUUGAUUAGCCGCCUCAUUCUCGAUGGUAGUUAACUUUCUUCUCAGGUUGGUGAUUGUCCCAUCAUACUUUCUUUUCAUUUAUUGCACAAACUAUGUCCUCCCUACUGCAUUCUUCGCCAAUUGGGCCCAGACUUUUGCUAGAUUGGCUUCCGAUUUUUCUAAAUGAUCUCGACUCUCGAGCGCUUUUCUCCUUAGACUACGUAUAAGUCUUUCAUCUGGUCGGCUUCUUUCCGGGUUUCUAGCUGCUAUUCUCAUUUUCUAGAUUUGAGCUUUAAGAACUUUGUUUUCCUGAGUUAGCUUUUCCUUUUCCCAUUCAUCUGCGACAGCUUGGAUACUUUUGGCAAAUUCGAGAUCCCUGAUUUGUCCUUCCAACAUACCUAUUUUGGUCUUGUAGCUUUCUUCUUUUGCACACCAGCCCCAUUGCUCUUGCGAGUCGUCAGUGAAUUGCUGAAUGUGGGCUCUCUUAGUAGGUCUUUCUGGAAUCUGGAAUCUUUUAACGAACCAAACAAUGUACUUAGGGUCCACUUCACCUCUAACUAGAUCUCUCACCAUGGUCUUAGGUUCAAGAAAUCUACAUUCAUUGAACACCUGGCGAAUUCUUUCCUCAAGAAAUACGGCUUUUGGGCCCAACUCAAUGACAUGUUUGCUCAAAUAUUCUUCAUGCAGAACGAUUUCUGAUAACACCAAACUAUGCCUUAUUAACAAAUACACACGGACGUCGCAAAUAUAUUCUGAGUAUUUCUGCCCAGAGUCGAACCACAGGGAAUUAACCUAUCAAUUAUUUUUGUCGAACUUACUAAAUUCACGGAUUCAAUUUCCCAAACUUUGUAAUUCACAAUUGAUGAUAUAUCUAACAACUAAAUUGAAAAUAAAUAACAGCUGAAAGUUAACUAAUGUUGGUUUGUAAACAAUUGGAAUAAGUUCUAAGGUAAUGGUUUCCCCCGUUGUUGAUUUCCUUGGUUGAAUAUGUUUUACAGUUGAGACUUAGUUGUCUCCACCAAUCAUGAAUGCUCCAGCUAUCAUAAAUCUUUCUCAAGCAAUUAUGAUAAUUUACUAGACGCNNNNNNNNNNNNNNNNNNNNNNNNNNNNNNNNNNNNNNNNNNNNNNNNNNNNNNNNNNNNNNNNNNNNNNNNNNNNNNNNNNNNNNNNNNNNNUCAGCGCAAGUUCUGGGCAUCAAAUGUACAACAUGGAAUACAAUAUCUAGAUUCAUGUUACAGUUCACUUAGAUUGCACCCGAGGUAUUGUUAUGUCUAAUCCAACCUCUAAACCCUCGAUUAUGACUCUCGUCUAUACUCUGGGAGUGAUGUUGUUCAUAUAAUCACCUAAAUAUGCUCUCUCUCUCUCUCUCUCUCUCUCUCUCUCUCUCUCUCUCUCUAGCAGAUACAUACUAUUAGGGGUGGAUAAUUGAGGGCCCUUUCAACUAACCACAAUCAAAAUGUAGAUGAAAAAAUAGAGAUUAACAACCAAUUCAAAACUGUAUUAAUAUAACAACCAAGUCAUCCCCAAUGGGUUUCACCAAAACCUUAAAUUAAAGUAUUUAGCUACUCAUAACAAUGUAAGACAAAACUACUAAAUUAUUCAUAAUGGAAGAAUUGAAAGAAAAAUAGAAGAGAUAAAGAACUAUGAUGUUUUGGGUGAUCUCUUACACUUGUUCUUCUUCCAAAAGUAAUCUAAAAAAUAAGCCCUCAUUUCAUCUUAGGUGAGUUUCUACAUCUUAUAUGGGUUUCACCAAAAGUUUUCCCGAAAUGGCACUUUGGCCCCUAAAAUUUCUGGAUCGUGAAUAGUUCACCGCGGCCGCGGCGUGGACCGCCGUCGACCGCGGUGAACAAACACUACCUCGGCCUAUUUUUAUGUUUUAUCUCUGCGCUCUGCUCCGCUGUCCUCCGCGGUCGUGGUGAACUUUUGUCCAAUCAUUUCUUUUGUUCUUUUGUGUUCGGGUACUUCUUGAGUGAGUGUUUUCUUCACAUUAUUGCCUCCAGACACUUCAUGUUGCUUCCUCACAAAUAGUAUUCCCUGCGACACAAAUUAGCACCAUUUAAUGCAUUUUAUGCAAUUAAGGUGUAAAUAUCAACUAUAUAGCCUAUUAUCAACACCCCACACUUAAAUUAUUGCUAGUCCUCGAGCAAUUCACCUCACUCCAUCAAAAUUCAUUCCCUAUGCUUUUCCCUCAACGACUCAUACCAUGAACAUUUUACAAAAGAUACACUUAGCAGAGAGCAAACGUUUACCUCAAGAAUCAAAUCUUUUGUACCCCGUAACAUUUGCACUAACUCAAACCACUCUACACAAGAGUCAAGACCUACAUUUCCUUUGUGAAUCGUAUGCCCUCACACACACAAGAGAGUAGUUCCAUAUAUAAUGAUAGUGAUAGCAAUUAGGAACUAAAAUAGACAGAAUUCGCUCACUCUCCAAAAAGAACAUUCACAUGCUACAAAGAUGUACCAUAAGCUUGUCCGUAGUGUAGUACUCGACUAAUCAAGCUCAUCCAAUCUUGGAUCAAUUAGGACUUUAUUUGGUUGUAAUGUAUGCUACGGGAUGGGUAGAAGACAUUUAGAUAUAAGAGUGACUACACCUCUCUACUAGUUUAGUACUCGACUAAUCGAGCUCAUUCAAUCUUGGAUCAAUUAGGACUUUAUUUGGUUGUAAAGUAGGCUAGAGGACGAGUAGGAUACAUUUAGAUAUAAGAGUGACUACACCUCCCUAAGAACUUUAAAACAUAUAUUUUAACAUUCAAACCCCAUACUUAUGUCAAACCAAAAUUCCACCUUCAUAUCAAUGUGAAUUAACCCCUUCUUCUUUAAGCACACUUAUGUCAAGAGCCACCACUUAUCAAGGAAAUAUUAUUAUAUUUUUUGUUUCAAUUCAAGUGGAUCUUCCUUUUUCAAAACAGUGCACAUUUCUCCUUAUUCAAUUAGUUCCACUCAAAAGCCAAACCAACCACCCCAAACUUUAACUUUUACAAAGCUCAUAACAAUUCAAGUGCUCAUGAGAGGUGAAAAGGUUCAAAUAAAUGGUUAAUUCAAACAAAUGGGUAAGGCUUGUAAUGUGGUUGCCAAGGAAAAAAGAUUAUAGGAUCAAUGGGGUUAACUAUGAUACAUAAUAAUUAGGUGGGUAAAACAUACAUAUUUGACUCAACAAAGAAAUGCCUAUAUCACUUCAAAAACUGAAUGGAGCUACUAUUUCGCUUUGCAAACACACAGCGCAAGUUCUGGGCAUCAAAUGUACAACAUGGAAUACAGUAAUACUCACACACACAUGGCACAUGACUCACUCCGGAUUAGUUUAUCGAGGCAUUCUCUUUGAAUAUUCAAGUUAGGUACAAACAUACAAUUUUUAAGGCACUUAAAUAAGAUUCAACCCUUGAAGCUAAGACUACACUCUAGCAUUUAUCGUUUUCAGGUGUAAGAAUGCUCAGGGUUUUGUUUUCAAUUUUAAUCUCGUCGCCCAUUAAUCCUAACCUAAAACAAAAAACAAAUAUCUACCUAUACCCAGUUCAAUCUAAACCCUUGGAAAAGAACUGUAGCCCAAAGAAAAACCAAUGGGAGUUACUACACUACCUAAAAAAAUCUUUUUGCUAUUUUCUCUAGACUAACUUCCCUCAAGAAAAGUUUCUAAAGGAUCCGUCAUCAAGAAGAGUCUCUAUAUUCUAUUUUUUUUCUCGACUUAGUCCCUCAAGAACCCCGUCAAAAGAGAUACGUCGUGGGGACAAGUCAUUUACUAUUUCUAUUUCUACUUACCUAAUGAAUUAUUGUUCUAACACCAAAACAAUCAAAGAAAAUAUUUAAUUAUUACAAUUACCAACAUACAAUGAAGUAUCCCCCACCCCACACUUAAAAGAAAGACAUGUCCCCGUGGCUUGACAAUAUAAAAAAGUAAGGUAAAGAAACUUCCCUGAAGAAUCACUCUUGAUCUGAAACUGUAUAUGGGUUCACGUUGCAGGCGUGACCCAAAGCUCUCAACCAGCCCAUGAAUUUCUUUUCUGACUUCACCUGUCGGUCAACCACCGCAUCAAUACCGGAACGCAAGUCAGCUACGGAGGUCCGCAACCCAGCCAUAUCUUACUCCAAAGCAGCCAUGCGAGUGCUUCGGCGUGGCUGUGAUGGUCCUGCCUCGUCCCCUCUCGGACGAGCUGUGAUGUCAGUAGCCCUAGCAUCAUCAUCACACUCAUUAGACGAGUUAUCACUGUGUUGCAUCGACAUUCUUCUCUCUAGUCCAAUUUUCUUCACCCGGAAAUGAGCAUUUAGAGGUAAUUUCCCAUCAACUUGAAGAUUCUCAGGCACAGCGGCACAGUCGGGUGACUAGCGAAGGGAACUAGUGACCCUUGAUUACCUCCGACGAUCUAAUGAACAUUUCGUCAUGGAGGACUCGGGCGACAUCAAACCAUUUGGUGAGUCACAAAGUAGUUGAUCAUAGUGGCUCGUGGCCCAUUCACAUCUGUGGUAUUGCUGGAUGGUAACAUUCAAUACACAGCUGCGUCACCAACAUAUGCCAAUAAAAAUGAAAUUACACAAGAAUAGAAGAAGAAGAAGAAGAAGAAGAAGAAUAAGAAGAAGACGAAAAAAAAAAGAAAAAUCUAAACAAAAAUAUUAUUAGUAAAACUAAACUAUACAACAUUGAAGUAGGAUACAAUACAAAAGAUAGGAAGAAAAGAGAAAGAGGGGGGUCAGAAUCAUACCUUUGUGGAAGAAGAUGAGGGGUAUUGUGAAGGAAGAAGAAGAAGAAGAAGAAGAAGAAGAAGAAGAAGAAGAAGAAGAAGAAGAAGAAGAGGGGAAGGUUAGAGUUUAGAGAGAGGGGGAGAUUAGGGAUUAUUUUCUUUUUAUUUUGGGGAGGGCUUGUGUGUAAGGUGAAGAGGGAGAAGGGUUGGGUAUUUACAAUUAAAUGAAUAAGAAAUCAAGUGGAAGAAAACAAAAAAUAAAAAAACAAAAAGAAAAAAUUGCAGACCUGGUACCCUCGCGGUCGUCACCGCGGUUGCGGAGGAAUUUAAUUCAGAGACAGUGUCUCCCAAGGUCAUCACCGUAGUUCUGGCCGUGGUCGGAGGCAGUGUUUCCCGCGGUACCACAGUCGUGGUGAAUUAUCAAUGCUCCAGUUAUUUCCGCGGUCGUCACCGCAGUCCUGGUCGCGGUCGAGAGCAGUGUUGUCUGCGAUCCUACCGCGGUCGGCGAACGCGGUCACGAUGAACGGUUUUUUUAUACAUGAAGUUACAUACUACACUUACAACACAUUCAUGUGUUGCCUCCCACACAACAUCUGAUUUAACAUCGCGGCACGACGCAAGUAGUUGAGCCAUCACUCCUCAUUCGCGUACUGGGGUUCUUUCAAAUUGAUCACCACUGUAUCCCUUUUUUCUUCAGCUAUUCCAAGGUAAUGUUUCAACCUUUGCCCAUUUACUAAGAACUUGUUUGUCCCAUAUUCUGAUUCGAUAUCAACAACUCCACUUGCGAACAUUUGCACCACUCUAAAUGGUCCUGACCAUCGGGACUUUAACUUACCCGAAAACAAUCUCAACCUUGAAUUAUAGACUAAUACUUUGUCACCGGGUUUGAAAUCCCUGUCCACGAUGUGUUUGUCAUGCAUCUUCUUCACUAUUUCCUUGCAUAGCCUCAUGCUUUCAAAGUCUUGAUAUCUAAAUUCUUCCAGCUCAUGCAACUCUAUCAGUUGAUUUUGUCCGGCUGUGUCAGGAUCCAUGUUCAAUUCCUUUAGUGCCCACCAAGCUCGAUCUUCUAGCUCCACAAGAAGAUGACAGGCCUUCCCAAAUACCAACUUGUAUGGUGAUAUACCUAUUAGUGUUUUGAAUGCAGUUCAAUAGGCCCAGAGUGCGUCAUCAAGCUUCUUUGCCCAAUCAGUUCAUGCGGCAUUUACAGUCUUGGUUAGUACACUCCCUAUUGGACACUUCAACCUGCCCAUUGGUUUGCGGAUGAUAAGGGGUAGCCACCUUAUAGCGUACAUCAUAUUUUGCAAGUCAUUUCUCGAAGGCUCUAUUACAAAAGUAAGUGUCUCUGUCACUGAUGAUCGCUCUUGGUGUCCCAAACCGGGUGAAUAUGUUCUUUUUCAAAAAUCCUACCACCACUCUUGCAUCUAUUGUGGGCAACGCUACAACCUCUACACAUUUAGACACGUAGUCCACAUCAACAAGUAUGUACUUAUUGCCAAAUGAGCUGACAAACGUACACAUAAAGUCAGUCCCCUAAAUACCAAACACCUCUAUCUCCUGAAUCGAGUUCAUAGGCAUCUCAUGGUGACGGGAAAUGUUCCCGAUCCACUGGCAUUCAUUGCAGCCCUUUACGCAGAGGUGCGCAUCUCUAAACACAGUUGGCCAAAAGAAUCCAGCCUCUAACAUUUUCGCAGCUGUCUUGACCCCUCCAAAAUAUCCUCUUUAUGUUGAUACGUGACAACACUGUAAAAACAAAAAUUGUUCUAUCUCGGGGACACACCUCCGGGUAAUAUUAUCAACACAUAUUCUAAAUAAAUAAGGCUCGUCCCAAUAAUCCAAAACUUUUUCUUUUGGAUUGAUGAAAGGUCGUAGGGAACUAUACCACAGACUAGGUAGUUUGCAAAGUCUGCAUACCAUGGCACUUUCUCAAGACUAGCUGCAAGUAGUUGCUCAUCUGAAAAGGUUUCCAGAAUCUCUUCGACCUCGACUAAUUUUUUAGCUCCUUCAAGUCGUGAUAGAUGAUCAGUGACUUGAUUUUCUAUGCCCUCAUGGUCACGAAUUUUAAGGUCAAACUCUUGUAACACCAGCACCUAAAAAAUCAGGCGUGCUUAGACUCCUUCUUCUCAAUCAGGUACCUAAGAGUUGCAUGGUCAGUGUAUACAAUUACCUUGGAUCCAAUCAAAUAUGAUCGGAACUUGUCAAAAGUGAGCUCCACCGCUAACAUCUCCUUUUUCGUCAUAGUUUAGUUGAGGUAUGCACCGCUUAGCAUUCUGCUUGCGUAAUAAAUCAGGUGCAUCAGCUUAUCCUUUUACUGCCCCAAGACGGCUCAUAUGGCAUAGUCUCUUGCGUCACACAUGAGCUCAAAUGGUUGUUCCCAGUUGGGUGCAACAAUGAUGGGUGUAAUUACCAAUCUCUUCUUCAAUUCCUCAAAUGCCAACCUGCAAUCAUUAGAAAACACAAAUGCUGAUCCUUUUCAAGGAUUUUGCAUAAUGGGUUAGCAAUUUUGGAAAAAUCUUUUAUGAAACACCGGUAGAACCUGGCAUGUCCAAGUAAACUUCUCAUCGCCUUGACUGAAGUGGGCGGUGGUAGCUUCUCAAUUACGUCAACCUUAGUAUGGUCGGCCUCAAUUCCUUUACUGGACACUCGAUGCCUUAGGACUAUCCCUUCUUGUACCAUAAAAUGACAUUUCUCCUAGUUCAGAACUCAAUUUGUCCCCCACACAUCUUUUAAGCACUCUCAUUAAGUGGUGAAGAUAGUCUUCGAAUGAAUCUCCCACUACGGAGAAAUCAUCCAUAAAAACUUUCGUAAUAUCCUCCACCAUAUCUGUGAAGAUAGCUAACAUGCAACAUUGAAAUGUCGUUUGAGCAUUGCAAAGCCCAAAAGGAAUUCUCCAAAAGGCAAAGAUGCUAUACGGACAGGUGAAUGAUGUUUUCUCUCUAUCCUCGGGGGCUAUUGAUAUUUGAUUGUACCCCGAAUAUCCAUCCAAUAAACAGGAGUGUGAUCGCCCGGCCAGCCUGUCCAAGAUUUGGUCAAUGAAGGGCAAGGGGAAAUGGUCCUUCUGGGUGACUGUGUUCAAUUUUCUGUAAUCCAUGCAACUUCGUCAUCCUGUGCCUGUACGAGUUGAGAUCAACUCAUUGUUCUCAUUUUGCACAACAGUCACCCCCUCCUCCCUUUUAGGCACACAUUGGACAGGACUGACCCAAUUGCUAUUAGAGAUGGGAAGAUGAUUCCCCCAUCUAACAAUUUGAUUACUUCCUUCUUCACUACUUCUUUCAUCUUUGGGUUCAUCCUUCAUUGAUGUUCUCUGGAAGGUUUGUGCCCUUCUUCCACGAGAAUCUUAUGCAUACAAAAAGAUGGGUUGAUACCCUUAAUAUCUGCCAUGGUCCAGCCGAUGGCAGUCAUGCUUUCUUGCAAUACCUGUAAGAGUUGUUCUACCUACACAACUAGCAAAUCGAAUGAUAUAAUAACAGGCAAAGUAGAAUUAGGGCCUAAGAAAAUAUACUUGAGGUGAUCUGGGACUGACUACAGCUCCAGCUUAGGUAGUUCCUCUAUUGAUGGCUUUGUUGGAGGUGUAGCCCUUUUUUCUAACUCAAGGGAUUCGACUGAGGUUCCCUUUUCCAGAAUCCUUGGCCUUCAAGUGCCAUGACCCAUUCAGCUAACCCUUCACCAUCCAUCUCUUCUAAAUUUGCCAAACAUGCCUCUAAUAGAUCUUUAACAGCUAGGGUCAUAUCACCUUCUUGCAAGAUCAUAUCUACUGCCUCCACUAGAGAGAAACUAGCAUAUACGUUGGGUAUCCUCAUAGAUUGCUGAAUAUUGAAUAUGACUUCUUCAUCAUUCAGUCUCAUUUUUAAUUCCCCAGUCUUACAAUCGAUCAAUACUUUUCCAGUGGCCAAAAAUGGUCUACCCAAAAUGAGAGGUAUAUCAUCAUCUACCUGACAAUCCAGAAUAACAAAGUCGGCUGGGAACACGAACUUCCCCACUUGCACCAACAAAUCGCCAAGAAUACCAGUUGGCCUUUUCACCAUGCGGUCAGCCAGUUGCAGCAACAUCAAAGUCGGUCUAGCUCUGGCAAUGCCCACUUGGUGUACACUGCCAGCGGCAUUACACCAGUUGGCCUUUUCACCGUGCGUCGGCCAGCAGUAGCAGUAGCAGUAGCGAAGUCAGCUUGUGCGAAGUCAGCUUGGUUUACACUGCCAGCAACAUCAGGUUUAUGCUAGCUCCCAAAUCACAUAAUGCUUUUGCAAAGGCAUAACUCCUAAUUGUUCAUGGAAUAGUGAAGCUACCUGGAUAAGACAUCUUUUGAGCCAUCGGUCUUGUUACCACUGUGCUUCAGGUCUGUGUCAGAGUUAUAGUGGACAGAUCCUGAAAAUUAAACUUUCAUGACAUUAGAUCCUUCAUCAUCUUGGCAUAACUGGGCAUCUUCCUCAGAGCAUCCAUCAGCGGAAUAUUCAAUUGAAUUUAACGCAACAUCUCUAUUAAUUUCUUGUAUUGGUCUGUCUUCUUUUGUUUUACCAGUCUCUGAGGGAAGGGUGCAGGUAUCACCCUUUGUGAAUUGAUUGUUGGCUUCUCUCUGUUGGAAUUUUUUGGCACAAGAGGUGCCACCUAUUCUGCAGUUUGCUCAUUCAUAUUGUUUUUGCCUUUUUCCUCCUGUUGGAAUUUUUUGGAACAAGAGGUCCACCUGUCCUACAGCUUGCUCAUUUAUCUUUUCUUUGCCUUUUUCCUCCUGAAUAUGCUCAACCACCAUUUCAGUAAGCUCUGUUGGUUCCUCCACCUCUAAUGGAACUGGAGUACUGUCGUAUUCUCCUUAUUAUCUUGUAUAAUCUCCUAUUCUCUGUCUAAAUCUCUCCCCAUUCCUCAGACUUACUGACAUAAGCAUUAUUUGGGUUUUUCUCCUUGGGUUUAUAUUUGUGUCUGCAAGCAAAAUUCCCUGAGGGUGGUUGUUUAGAGCCAUGGACAGUUGUCCCAGCUACAUUUCAAUGUUCUUUAUGGCUAAAUCAUAUACUGCCAACUUCUCCUGCACUUUAUUAUUUGUCCCAAUGAGUUGCUGAACAUACCCCUGAUUUCUAUCAUGUUGUUAUCUUGCUGAGGAGGUGUUUCUGCUGAUUUUGCUGUGGAUAGCUCUCUAGUUUGUGGAUAGCUCUGUAGUUUCUGAUAUGGUACUGGCACCAAUUGGUUUUGAGGGUGCAAACGCCCAGGCUGUUGCAUGUUAGGUCUGUACUGCUGAUUUUGUGGUGGUCUCUAUUGUUGUUCUCCUUGUCUCUGACCCCCAUAGUUAUUGACAUAAUUCAUAUCAUCCCUCGCCCCUUGAUUUUUCCCUUCUCCGCUCUAUGAACACACAUAAUACUGAUUAAUACAAGCUAUAAACAAUCUUCCAUUUGUUGUAUCAAUAAUGUGCACCUGUUUUGUACCCAUCUCAUCAAUCUUCUUUGUCAAUAUGCUCAUCUGGGUCAUGAGUGUGGCCAUAUUCUCUGGAUGUGAAUUAUUUGGGUCAAGAGGAACUGAAUGCACUUUGGGUACCAGUGUUGUAGCUCUAGUCAUCCACCCUAAAUGUUGUGACAUCUUGUCAAGAAAGAUUUUGCACUCGGUGAAUGUCUUACUCAAAAAUGCACCUCCAGCUGAAGCAUCCGCAUUUUCCUUUAGAUUGUGAGCUAGUUAAGAAGGAUUUUUCACUCGGUGAAUGUCUUACUCAAAAAUGCACAUCCAGCUAAAGCAUCCACAUUUUUCUUUAGAUUGUCAGCUAACCACAUGUAGAAUCUCUGGCCAAGCAUCUGGUCUGGAAUGCCAUGGUAAGGGCACUUCACUAGUAUCCCUUUAAAUCUGUCCCAAGUUUCUUGCAAAGACUCAAUCAGCUGCUGCUUAUACUGCAAUAUUUCAUCAAUCUGUCUUGCAGUCAUGUUGGGGGAUAGAACUUAUUCAGAAACUGCUUGGCUAAGUUCUCCCAGGUAGCUAUGGAAUUGACAGGGAGCGAAUUUAGCCAAGUCUGAGCUUCUUCGAUCACAGAGAAUGGGAACAGUAACAACUUGAUAGCUUCCGGGGUCACAUUAGGCUGCCUUUGGGUCAUACAUAUUGACGGAAAAUUUUUCAAGUGUUGCUGAGGGUCUUCAAUGUGUGACCCGGAGAACAAUCCUUUAUUCUGCAGUAGAUGCAACAUAUUGUUGGUUAUCUAGAAGGUCUCCUCUUGGAUUGUGGGCACAGCUAUGGCAGUGGCCAGAUUAUCAGCUAUGGGUUGUACCCAGUCACAAAGUGCAGCUUCGGGCACAAGAGGUGCCACUACUCUCGUGUUGGGGUUUGCUGGCGGAUCCCCAACGUUUCCAACGAUGUUGUCUGCGUCACCCAUGUCAAAUUCGAGCAGGUGUGAUUGUUGGGAUUGUUGAAGUCUCUUGUUGGCACGAUUCAGUGCCCUGAAUGUUUUCUUGGGGUCUGAGAGUCCUUCUAGCAGUUCUCCAAUCCUCGAAGAACUUCUAGGCAUACACCUGAUUUCCACAAGAGUUCAAACGUUAUAACUUUAAUGAACAUAUUGGGUAUAGAGAAAACUGACUACACUAAGAAUUUUUGUACUUCUUUCAAUUGUAAUUGAUAACACCGUUAAUUCCCCGUCAACGACACCAAAAUUUGAUAACGCCAAACUAUGCCUUAUAAAAAGACACACACGGACAUAGCAAAUAUAUUCUGUGUAUUUCUGCCUAGAAUCGAACCAUAGGGAAUUAACUUAUCAUUUACUUUUGUCGAACUUACUAAAUUAACGAAAUCAAUUUCCCAAACUUUGUAAUUCACAAUCGUUGAUAUAUCUUACAACUAGACUGAAAAUAAAUAAUAGCUGAAAGUUAACUUAUCUUGAUUUGUAAACAAUUGGAAUAAGGUCUAAAUUAAUGGCUUCUCCCGUUGUUGAUUUCCUUAGUUAAAUAUGUUUUAUAACUGAGACUUAGUUGUCUCCAUCAAUCAUGAAUGCUCCAGCUAUCAUAAAUCUUUCUCAAACAAUUAUGAUAAUUUACUAUAUGCACUUUCUCAAGCUACGCUAGCUAGAUUCACAUUACGGUUCACUUAGACUGCACCCGAUGUAUCGUUAUCUCUAAUCCAACCUCUAAACCCUCGGUUAUGACUCUCGUCUAUNGGAGUGAUGUUUUUCAUACAAUCACCUAAAUAUGCACUCUCUCUCUCAAGCAGAUACAUACUAAUAGGGGCGGAUAAUUGAGGGCCCUUUCAACUAACCACAAUCAAAACGUAGAUGAACAAAUAGAGAUUAACAACCAAUUCAAAACUAUAUUACUAUAACAACCAAGUCAUCCCCAAUGGAUUUCACCAAAACCUUAGAUUAAAGUAUUUAGCUACUCAUAACAACGUAAGAUAAAACUACUAAAUUAUUCAUAAUGGAAGAAUUGCAAGAAAAAUAGAAGAGAUAAAGAACUAUGAUGUUUUGGGUGAUCUCUCACACUUGUUAUUCUUCAAAAAAUAAUCUAAAAGAUAAGCCCUCCUUUCAUCUUGGGCGAGUUUCUACAUCUUAUAAGGGUUUUACCAAAAGUUUCCCCGAAUUGGCACUUUGGCCCCUAAAAUUUCUGGAUCUUUAACAGGUCACCGUGUUUGCGGCAUGGACCACGGUGAACACUGCCUGGGCCUAUUUUUGUGUUUUGUCUCCGCGCUCUGCUCCGUUGUCCAUCGAAAUCGUAGUGGACUUUUGUCUAGUCAUUUCUUUUGCUCUUUUGUGUUCGGGUACUUCUUGAGUGGGUAUUUUCUUCACAUUAUUGCCUCCAAACACUUCAUGUUGCUUCCUCACAUAUAGUAUUCCCUGUGAAACCAAUUAGCACCAUUUAAAGCAUUUUAUUGGCAAAUUACCUUGUAAAACAACAACAAAGCAUGAGCAGUUAGGGUGUAAAUGUCAACUAUAUAGCCUAUUAUCAGUUUGAAAUCUUCCUAAUUGACACAAAGCCCUGUGAGGAGCAUAUGACUGGAUGCUCUGGAUACCCAUCAGGAGGAGAUAACACACUUCGGCGGACAUGUAUAUUGUUUUGGUGAUAGGAAGCCAUCUGAAUGACCACCCAAGUUUAUCGCUAUUCAAAGAGCUCAAAUGUGCAAACCGGGCUUCAGUACCCUUAGGGAAUUCAAUACCCGCUACUCGGCUUUCAAAUAUUUCAAUGCAACUCAAACCGGUCAUACCAUAAUUUAUAUACCCAACCCGGUGGUAGAGAUGCUCCUGUAUCCAUAAUUGUAGUAUCAGAUUGCAGCUUUGGAAUAAUUUUUUCCCUUCUCGAAAGAUACUCAAGGCUCGGUAAAUUUCAGAUAAGAUCAGGGGAACCACAGUGCUAUUGGCCUUCUUUAUUGUAACAUCGACCAUUUCUACGAGACCCACUUCUAUAUUACCAUCUUCUCGCGGACAGACUACAAUACCUAAGAAUGUUGUUGCAAAGGCCAAACCCCGUCUUGCCUCCCAUUUGUCUUUAUUUUCGGCGUGGGUCAAACCAGUAUUUGGUGAUUCAAAACCUUGAGGGCUACCAUAAUGUUGAUACAGGAACUAGAAAGUGCAUACCCUUCAAAUAAGUUUCCAUCUUGAAUAUCCCAAAUAAUACUUAGCAAAUUCAAAAAUUUGUGGGGAGAUAUCGGUCUUGGUGACACUGGGUACCACUUCUUAGGUUUCCGUUAAGGUCAGCAUAACCCCUAAUUUCUUUAAGGAGGGUGUGAGCUCAACCAAAACACAUUACGAGUUGGAUCCCAAAAAGAUAUUAAAGCUUCAAUUACGUCCAACCUUGGCUUGAUGUUCAACCGUCCAACGAGACCUCCCAGAACCUUUACCACAGUUUCUCUACUGCCUUUUUCUAGAUCAUUCCACCACAUGUGGAGCUGUAAGGGGAUCUCUUUAAGGGCUGUGAAGGGUUCAAUUUCAUUUGUGCUAAUUGUACACAUUUAUUAAGGCGAUUUAAUAACUUAUUUUGACUCAAAGCAAAAGGGAAACACUAUUCUUUCAAAAUUUUGUUUAAAAUAAAAUCCAGUUUUGCAAAUACGGCCUUUCAACACCUCGGGGAAGAAGAUUUUAAGAUUGUGUCAGCUAAUUGGCCAAAGAUUAAAAAUGACCAAAGGUGGUUGUUCUUGCAGAAUCAGCCUUCCGGCGCCCUUUUGGGGACAUUCGACUUAAUUUAAACAAGAUAGUCAUCACCCUGCUUAUUUGUGAUAAAAAUAAUUUUUUUUGUUUUUUUUUUGGGCUAUUUUGCAAAAAUGAAGUUGGACCCGACGGGGGUUGCCUACGUAUCCCAUAUCCGGUGGGAAUCAUAUUGCAUAUUUCGGACAAAUUUUAAACAAAACAACUAUUUUUGAAAACUUUUCUUCUUUUUCACCUUUUUUUUCAAAAUCAGGCAGAGUUUCAGUACUUUUUGGAGAUUGAUUUUCAAAAAACAGGUGAUUAUCUCUCUUAACCCUCACACUGCUAUUUUCUUCUCCCAAAUUUCUUCCAUUAUUCACAAGCCAGUCAACAUGUAAAUCAAAGCAAAGAAAUGCACAAGUAGCAAGUAGGAUGCAUCAGGGGUCUUUUCAUUUCACGUACACCUGUCCUAGAAAGACCCAACCCUUGUGUUGAGUCUCCUAAGUCAAAUGCACGUGAUGCAACCAAACGUUCCUACUAGGGAUACAAUAUGAGGUUUUGUUAUACUAGGUUUAAAACCUGAGUUUAUUAUUCUAGACCUGGCUUACCCAAGAGGACAGCUCGAGCCAAGGGCGGGGCAGCGUACCGGAAAUACAGAAGCUUCGCCGGCUUUGCAAAUUGUCCGAACCUCGUUAUAAAAUUAGGAUAAGACUCUAACAGAAAAGAGUUACACGAAGUGCACACUUCCCAGAUGAUUUAGAAGACUCAGAGAGAAGAAGGGUUCCACGGCAGUUUAUGUACAAUUCACAAAAUAUCAAAGCGCUAAAAACAUUUAGCAUAUUGGGCUCAAAUAUAUAGAAAAUUCAAAUAAUAAAUAAAGUCAAUCAUAACAACUAUUUUAAGCUUAAUUCUUAAACCCUGAAUCAAAGUUCUGGGUUUGGAUCCCCAGCAGAGUCGCCAGAGCUGUCACACCUCCUUUUUUACACACCUCUCUGUAGGGUAGUAUAUAAGGGAGUUUUUUGAAUUUAAGUGACAUUAUUCGAAAUGAGAUUAUUUAUUUAUUUUUGUUCAGAGUUGCCACUUGGGAUAGGUUUAUUUUCUGGUGUUCCAAGUUACCGUUUAUUUUAAAAUCUCAAAUCGAGGAAAAUUUGACUUUUCUUUUGAAGUUUGUGAACCAGAAAUUCUAGAUAAUGAAUUUUGUUAACUUGAGGGAAGAUGUUAGGCACCUCCGAAUUCCGUGGUUCUAGCAUGAUCGCUUAAACCAUUACAAUUGGCAUGUUAUCUAGUUUUAAUACAUGUUUUAGCCUAUGGUGCAUUUUAAACUUAUUAACCGCUUUUAAUUAUUUUUAAUAAGAUCUCAACGUCAUCUAAAGCACAUCUUUGGACCAUACCACAUGAAAUAGACCUGCAAUCUGAGACAUAUUUUAUUUUAUAAUAUUGUGAGAUAGAGUUGGGUCACAUGAAAUGCACACCCAAAUUUAGAAAAGUAACUUAUUAAAAUAACGUGCCUAAAGCAACUAAGCAUUUUUAACUUUGCGAGGGCCAUAAAAAUUUACUAAAUGGCAUACCUCGAGCUUUAAGGAUUUUAAAAUUAACUAAGUGAGCCGUGCAUUUUUCAGAUUUUUUGGGCAUGGUGCGCCUCGAUUCUAUUUUAAAAGGAAGUUUAAACUAACUUUGAGGGCCGCAAACUAUUAUUGUACUUAAUAUGGCACAUCUCCAAAUCUAUUUAAUGUAAGCUAAUUAAUUAAACACUAAUGGAAUUUGUACUCUACUUUUAAUACUAAUGCUCAAACUAAUUAAAGAAAAUCGCCUUGAAGAGAACAUGGCCGAUUAUUUGAAAGAGAAUGGCUUGGGCCAUCACAUCAUUUAGAUAGGGAAAAAUAAAGGCAUGCCCAAACAUGAUAGGGCCAUGCAAUCCCACUUCAGGGGUGCCUCAUGUUCCCAGGCCCAAAAUAGCCUACAUCUUUUGAGAACCAAGGACAACUAAAAUCAAGACUCGUAUUCGAAUCUCCAAGCAUGUGUACAAUAUCAUAAAAUCAAAAGGGUGUCAAUAUCGAACCCAUCUAAAUGUCAAUCAUUGCAUAACUACACAUGCCAUCAGAUUUAAAUCAAUUCAAGCUAACUUAAUGGACAUUUGCAUAAGCUCCCAACCUCAAUUAAACCCCUUUUCUACGCAUACAACAAAUAAAGAUCUUAAUUUAACCUCAAACUUGGAUUAAAUAUGCUUGCAAUCACACUCCAUAGAAAUUCUGUACAUAGCUUGACCCUUAAGAUCAUAACUCAAACCAUUUUUCUUGUCCAAAUGACUGUAAACUGAUUAAUGACUUUAAAAUCAUUGACGAUUUUACAAAGCAAAGUACUACAUGAUUUUCCAAAUAGCAAAUGCAAUACUAGAUAAACUUCAACAUGAAAUUUUCUGGUUUCAGACCUUAGGAAUAUCAACUUAAGCAGAUUCAAACAAGUUCCCUCAAUAGCACCGAUUUCAACAAGCUAAAGCAGAUAUGAAACAUGCAUAACUCUUCUGAAAUUUCUAUUACACUAAUUCCUUACCACCUACACAUAUGAUCAGAAAACUUCAAGCAUUUAAACUAAGCAAAUGAAAUGAACGUUUAUCCAACACCAUAAUAUGAUCUGAAAAUACAAUGAACACAAGACUAAACAGCUUAUGAGCAUAGGUAGAGUUCUCUUAAAACACAAAGGAGCUCAAAUGUAUUUUUCAACAAGCUCCAUGUUUUCCAUACACAUAACCACAUUUACAACUUCACUUUCCUGUCAAUGGUUCAAAGAAAUACCUGUAAUUCAAAACAAAACAGAAAAUGGUGGUUCAGCAGCAGAAACAACAACAACACUAUAGUAGGAUUCAAUACCAACAGCCCAUUUCAACCGAAAAAGAUGUGAAACGGUUCAAACAAACUCCCAAUCGAACAAUAACCGAAGGAUAACUUCAGAACCAAGCUUUUAAAACCAGACUCAAUCCAUUUUUUGACCCCAGAUGAAUCAGAAAAUGUUUCAGAAUUAGAAAAAAAGAACUUCGGGAAAUCACUAGAGAGGAUUCAAUGGAAUAGUAUCUUUGUAAAAAUUUUAGCUGUUUUGAUUUUUUCUAAAUUUUUAUCCUUUUUUUAGUCUCUAAAAUCUUUAUAAUCUAUAAUGAGCUGCCCUUAGAAAUGUCUUUAUAGGUAAGCUAUAGGCAUAAAAAUUGUUCAAUUUUUGCCCUUUAGACCUUUCAUAAUUUUUAUUUUUGCUGCUUGGUCCUUAAAUUACUUACUUGUUGGCCAAGUAAGCCUAUUUUAAGCUUCUAAGAAGCUUCCUAAGGCAGUUAUUGAAAUAUUUCCUAAGUAAACUGCCCAAAUUACCCUUCAAUGACCAUGUUUUUAACCCAUGAAUCUCAAAUAUGUUAUAGGUCAAUGACCCGAAGGUUCAUGUCCAAGUAAACGAAUAAGAUAGACCUAGAGCCCAGACCAAAUGGGGUCAGAAACCCAAACAACUUAACGAUAUGCGGAAAAAAGAGAUAUUUGAGUGAUUUCAAGAUUCAGAAUUUAAGCUACAAAUAACCACUUUCUACUCUAAAAUACUAAAUUAAAAUUAGAACUAAGUUAACAAUUUACAACAAACUACUCAGAAAAUUUCACAGCCCUAAAAUAAAAACCUGAGAAUAUGAUUAAAGCUUUAAAAAGAAAAUUGAAGAGAUGAAGCAGAAAUCAACAAACAAUACAAAACAAACUAUCCUAAACGGGGGGGNNNNNNNNNNNNNNNNNNNNNNNNNNNNNNNNNNNNNNNNNNNNNNNNNNNNNNNNNNNNNNNNNNNNNNNNNNNNNNNNNNNNNNNNNNNNNNNNNNNNNNNNNNNNNNNNNNNNNNNNNNNNNNNNNNNNNNNNNNNNNNNNNNNNNNNNNNNNNNNNNNNNNNNNNNNNNNNNNNNNNNNNNNNNNNNNNNNNNNNNNNNNNNNNNNNNNNNNNNNNNNNNNNNNNNNNNNNNNNNNNNNNNNNNNNNNNNNNNNNNNNNNNNNNNNNNNNNNNNNNNNNNNNNNNNNNNNNNNNNNNNNNNNNNNNNNNNNNNNNNNNNNNNNNNNNNNNNNNNNNNNNNNNNNNNNNNNNNNNNNNNNNNNNNNNNNNNNNNNNNNNNNNNNNNNNNNNNNNNNNNNNNNNNNNNNNNNNNNNNNNNNNNNNNNNNNNNNNNNNNNNNNNNNNNNNNNNNGGGGGGGGGGGGGGGGGACUAUAUUCAAAAUGGUCUUCAUUCAGUACAUGCUCGAAUAUAUGGAGGCGGAAGUAAAUUAACAAAAGAAUAGACGAAACAGAAAAAAAUGAACAAAAGGCAAAGAAAGAAUAAAGAAACUCACCGAUAUAGACUGAAUACUAAUGGAGACCAAGGACUUAAACUAAUAUCGAUCCAUCGUUCUUUGUCAAGAACAAACUGAACGAUAUUAGUUUUGUCAAGUCCAACCUUCAAAACUAGAAAAGAAAUAGAAUCCCAAGGUCGUGCAUGUUGCCAGAUUUGAUGAAAUAUGAUUUCGAACUUUGGAGGUCAAACUCAGAUUCAAAAUUAGACAAAUUUGAAGCUGAUUCGAGGGUAACUGACCAUAGAUUAGGGAAGAGAUGGUUGUUGUGACUAUGUGGUGUUAGUUUGGGAGGGGUUGGUGUGACGCCGCCACCGGAGAAAACAAAGGCGGCGCUAGGGUUUGGACAUUUGAUUGGAUAUUUGAAGAGUUUCAGGUGUAUUUGAGAGAAGGUGACCGGAGAAUUGAGACGAGGGGGACCUGGGUAUCGCUUGGUGUUAAUUUAGUGGUGAUUGGCUGCCGGCCGCCACCGUGGGCGAUUUCCGGCGAGCGGCGGACAGUGGCCCAAGAGUUGCAUUAUGUUAGGACUUCUGAGGGUGUGUGAGAGACGAUUUGGG